GACGAACGCUGGCGGCGUGCUUAACACAUGCAAGUCGAACGGAAAGGCCCUGCUUUCGUGGGGUGCUCGAGUGGCGAACGGGUGAGUAACACGUGAGUAACCUGCCCUUGACUUUGGGAUAACUUCAGGAAACUGGGGCUAAUACCGGAUAGGAGCUCCUGCUGCAUGGUGGGGGUUGGAAAGUUUCGGCGGUUGGGGAUGGACUCGCGGCUUAUCAGCUUGUUGGUGGGGUAGUGGCUUACCAAGGCUUUGACGGGUAGCCGGCCUGAGAGGGUGACCGGCCACAUUGGGACUGAGAUACGGCCCAGACUCCUACGGGAGGCAGCAGUGGGGAAUAUUGCACAAUGGGCGGAAGCCUGAUGCAGCAGCGCCGCGUGCGGGAUGACGGCCUUCGGGUUGUGAACCGCUUUCGCCUGUGACGAAGCGUGAGUGACGGUAAUGGGUAAAGAAGCACCGGCUAACUACGUG
rnacentral:rRNA from 1 species